UAUUGACAUUCGCAAAUGAAUAAGGUAUCCUUAAGGCGCGUUCGGAUGGGACCGGCGCGGCGGAUACCAGCGAACCUCGUCAGGUCCGAGAGGAAGCAGCGAUAAGGUGGAUCAUCCGGGCGCCGCCGGGAAACCUGUCCGGACGUAUUUUUUUAAGGAAUGAACAAUA
rnacentral:SRP_RNA from 1 species